rnacentral:rRNA from 1 species
UAAAGAUUCAUCGCUGAUAGAUAGGCAUGCGUUCCAUUAGGCAGUUGGCGGGGUAACGGCCCACCAAACCGACGAUGGAUAGGGGUUCUGAGAGGAAGGUCCCCCACAUUGGUACUGAGACACGGACCAAACUCCUACGGGAGGCAGCAGUGAGGAAUAUUGGUCAAUGGGCGUAAGCCUGAACCAGCCAAGUCGCGUGAAGGAUGAAGGUUCUAUGGAUCGUAAACCUCUUUUAUAAGGGAAUAAAGUGCGGGACGUGUCCCGUUUUGUAUGUACCUUAUGAAUAAGGAUCGGCUAACUCCGUGCCAGCAGCCGCGGUAAUACGGAGGAUCCGAGCGUUAUCCGGAUUUAUUGGGUUUAAAGGGUGCGUAGGCGGCCUUUUAAGUCAGCGGUGAAAGUCUGUGGCUCAACCAUAGAAUUGCCGUUGAAACUGGGAGGCUUGAGUAUGUUUGAGGCAGGCGGAAUGCGUGGUGUAGCGGUGGAAUGCUUAGAUAUCACGCAGAACCCCGAUUGCGAAGGCAGCCUGCCAAGCCAUGACUGACGCUGAUGCACGAAAGCGUGGGGAUCAAACAGGAUUAGAUACCCUGGUAGUCCACGCAGUAAACGAUGAUCACUAGCUGUUUGCGAUACAGUGUAA